GGGGCCACUGUUCACGGGCUCAUCGUGUCCGGCGCCCACAGACCCCACAGGUGCGAGGCCACUGCGACCCCGGGGCCAGUCACUGUCUCCCCGAAUGCAUCCUGUCCUGUCCCACAGGCCCGUCUCUACUGCAUUGCGGCUGCCGUGGUUGUAGUGACUUACCCCGUGUGCAUCAGUUUACUGUGCCUAGGGGUGAAGGAGCGGCCAGACCCCUCUGCCCCAGCCUCAGGCCCAGGCUUGAGUUUCCUGGCUGGGCUGAGCCUCACUACCCGGCACCCACCCUACCUGAAGCUGGUGAUCUCCUUCCUGUUCAUCUCUGCUGCUGUUCAGGUGGAGCAGAGCUACCUGGUCCUGUUCUGUACACAUGCCUCCCAGCUACACGACCACGUCCAGGGCCUGGUGCUAACUAUCCUGGUCUCAGCCGUGCUGAGCACCCCGCUGUGGGAGUGGGUUCUCCAGCGCUUUGGGAAGAAGACGUCAGCCUUUGGGAUCUUUGCGAUGGUGCCCUUUGCGAUCUUGCUGGCUGCUGUGCCCACAGCACCUGUGGCAUAUGUCGUGGCCUUUGUAUCUGGCGUGAGCAUUGCUGUGUCCUUGCUGCUACCCUGGUAGGCUGGGUGUGGGGGCCUCACGUGUGUCCACAGUGGGUGUCACCUCCUUCAUGUAAACCUGCUGUCCCAGGCCCCCUGCGCCCAGCCUGUGCAGGAGAUGGAGGCCACCAGCUCCAUCCUCAGAGCCCUCCUGAGAGGACAUCAGGCAGUAGGAAUGGCGGGGGGCCGGCAGGGGGCUGGCGGGGGGUACGAGCACACAGGCCAUCUGCUUCUCUGGUGGCCAGUCUGGUCCUGGGCACAGAACUCAGGGAUGAAUCCACUUUGGCCUCCGUCCCCAGAGAAUUCACAGGCUGCUGGUGGCCAAGGGGCUAGGAGGGCUAACUCCACACCCCCGCCGCAGGUCCAUGCUGCCAGACGUGGUGGAUGACUUUCAGCUGCAGCACUGUCACGGGCCAGGCCUGGAGACCAUCUUCUACUCCUCCUACGUCUUCUUCACCAAGCUGUCUGGCGCAUGUGCCCUGGGCAUCUCCACCCUCAGUCUGGAGUUCUCGGGGUAUAAGGCAGGGGUCUGCAAGCAAGCAGAGGAGGUGGUGGUCACCCUCAAGGUCCUCAUUGGCGCCGUGCCCACCUGCAUGAUCCUUGCUGGGCUCUGCAUCCUCAUGGUCGGCUCCACUCCAAAGACACCCAGUCGGGACGCCUCCAGCCGGCUGAGCCUUCGGAGGAGGACCAGCUACAGCCUGGCCUAAAGCUUAGGAGGGCGACUGUGAAUGGACACAGGAGCCAGCACCCUCAGGGCCUGACAUCGCCCUCCUCAGCCCUUCAGCACCUGGUCUGGCAGUUUAGCAUGUGGCCUUUUUCCCUGGGAUGUGGAGUCUUCGGCAAUGUGUCCUGAAGGGACUGGCCUGCACGCCAGGACCCCACUUGGCAUUUCUUGUCUGUUGCCUUCAGACUAUCUCAGAUAGGCCUGUGCCUCUGACUAGCCCAGUAGCACUUGUCUCUAGAAAAAGGAAGCUCCUGCCCAACCUGGCUUGUGGACCAGUAAUAUCUGUGGCCUACCACCCAUUCAAGAAAACGUUACAGCCGGCUCACUGCAAAAUCCGCCUCCCGGGUUCACACCAUUCUCCUGCCUCAGCCUCCCAAGCAGCUGGGACUACAGGUGCCCGCCACCACGCCCGGCUAAUUUUUGUAUUUUUAGUAGAGACGGGGUUUCACCGUGUUAGCCAGAAUGGUUUCGAUCUCCUGACCUCGUGAUCCGCCCCGCCUCAGCCUCCCAAGGGCAUGAGCCACCGUACCCGGUCUGCCCAGGCUGGUCUUAAACUCCUGGCCUCAGGUGAUCCUACUGCCUCAGCCUCCUGAGUAGCUGGGAUUACAGACACAAGCCCCCGUUCCCAGCUCUAGCAUUUCUUAAGGACAAAAUUGGUGUGUAAGUAACAGGAAAUUCACAUUAUGCUGUACUCAUUCUCUAAUAUCACAGCCAUGUUAGAACAAAUUUGGGUUUUCAAAACAAGCGUAACUGAACAGAGUAUAUAUGUGUAUGUAUAUAAAUAUAUAGAAAUCCUAAAUGGUCCCUGUGACAAAAGAAAUACACAUUUGGUCUCUGCCCCAGGUUCCUGGCACAGAGCUUCUAAAAUGCUAGUAACUUCCUGAGUGGUAGGGGUGAGGGGAACAUCUUUUGUUAUACAUAAGAAGCCCUUUUCAAACAGAUCUGAGUUUAUGCUAAUGAUGUGACUGGCAGAGGAUGGGGGCUGGUUGCCAGAGAAACCAACCAUGUGAUUAGAAGGUUGAAACUUUCAGCCUUAUCUUCCUACCGGGAGGGGACAGGGGCUGAAGACUGAGCUCAUCAUCAAUGAUUUAAUCAAUCGUGCCCAUGUAAUGGAGCCUCCACUUCCAAACGAAGGGGUUCAGAGAGCUUCUAGGUUGGUGAACACAUCCAUGUACCAGGAGGUCUACCCCACUCCACGGGGACAGAAACUCUUGUGUAGGGGACCCUUUUAGAUUUCAUUCUAUAUACCCCUUCAUCUGGCUGUUCAUUUUAUAAUCAACCAAUAAAUGUUAAGUAAAGUGUU
rnacentral:sRNA from 1 species